UGGGGAAUUUUGGACAAUGGGCGAAAGCCUGAUCCAGCCAUGCCGCGUGAGUGAAGAAGGCCUUCGGGUUGUAAAGCUCUUUUAGUCGGAAAGAAAGAGUUGCAAUGAAUAAUUGUGAUUUAUGACGGUACCGACAGAAAAAGCACCGGCUAACUACGUGCCAGCAGCCGCGGUAAUACGUAGGGUGCGAGCGUUAAUCGGAAUUACUGGGCGUAAAGGGUGCGCAGGCGGUCUUGCAAGUCAGAUGUGAAAGCCCCGGGCUUAACCUGGGAAUUGCGUUUGAAACUGAUUGGCUAGAGUACGGUAGAGGGAAGUGGAAUUUCCGGUGUAGCGGUGAAAUGCGUAGAUAUCGGAAGGAACACCAGUGGCGAAGGCGACUUCCUGGCCCGUUACUGACACUGAGGCGCGAAAGCGUGGGGAGCGAACA
rnacentral:rRNA from 1 species